ensembl:lncRNA
AAAGGGAGUUUUUCUGAACACACUCUACCACCAACAAGGACAGCUCACCAGUGGGAACUGAUAGAUAAGACUGCUGAUGCUCUCAUCCAUUGAAGAGCUGACCAGAAAUGUGAUCAGAGAGACUGCAACUGCACCUGAUGGGAUCCCUGCCAUAACAGAUGUGUUCUGUCCAGUGAAGGCAGUGGAGAAGCCCUACACUGAUCUUGAAACUGUGCCACGCUAGUAGAGACCGGCUACAAGGAUGGGCAGCUGUUUUCGCAAAGUCAGCCAACCACUUGCUUCCAAAUGACCCUUAUCCAGAAGUAUCCGUGAGUGCCUCAUCAACAGAAAAUAAAGUGGAGACCUACCUCUCAGAGAAAAACGCACACAUAAGAAAAGCCGACCCACUUCAGUACUGGGAAGAACAUCCUAAUCUGUUUCCCUCUAUGGCUGCUGUUGCGAUCCCAGUGUGCCCCCUGUAGCUCUGUGGACAGUUUUGGAUUUGUUUACAUCUCACCCAACCGCUCACGGCAGAUGGCUGCACCUCUCUAAGCCUGGUUCUGCCGGAGGUUUCUUCCUGUUAAAAGGGAGUUUUUCUGAACACACUCUACCACCAACAAGGACAGCUCACCAGUGGGAACUGAUAGAUAAGACUGCUGAUGUGCUCUCAUCCAUUGAAGAGCUGACCAGAAACGUGAACAGAAAGACUGCACCUGAUGGGAUCCCUGCCAUAACAGAUGUGUUCUGUCCAGUGAAGGCAGUGGAGAAGCCCUACACUGAUCUUGAAACUGUGCCACGCUAGUAGAGACCGGCUACAAGGAUGGGCAGGUAUAGUGAAAUUAAAAUGCACCUUUUGUUCAACAGGUUUAUAUAUACAGUCAAGUGAUCAAAAGACACCAGUAUUAAACCCA